UACGUAGGUGGCAAGCGUUGUCCGGAUUUAUUGGGCGUAAAGCGAGUGCAGGCGGUUCAAUAAGUCUGAUGUGAAAGCCUUCGGCUCAACCGGAGAAUUGCAUCAGAAACUGUUGAACUUGAGUGCAGAAGAGGAGAGUGGAACUCCAUGUGUAGCGGUGGAAUGCGUAGAUGUAUGGAAGAACACCAGUGGCGAAGGCGGCUCUCUGGUCUGCAACUGACGCUGAGGCUCGAAAGCAUGGGUAGCGAACAGG
rnacentral:rRNA from 1 species